rnacentral:rRNA from 1 species
CCAAUAGCGUAUAUUAGUGUUGUUGCGGUUAAAAAGCUCGUAGUUGAAUUUCGGGAUUGGGAUAUAUCGGUCGUGCCUUUAGGGGCAUGAAUCAGUGUGUGGCCAAUUCUCACCUUCUGGUGAAUUGGGAUGCUCUCGGGUGUUUCAAUGAACUAGGACUUUUACUUUGAAAAAAUUAGAGUGUUUAAAGCGGGCAUUUUUGCUUGAAUACGUUAGCAUGGAAUAAUAAAAUAGGACGGUGGUUCUAUUUUGUUGGUUUUAGGACCACGUAAUGAUUAAUAGGGAUAGUUGGGGGCAUUAGUAUUCAAUUGUCAGAGGUGAAAUUCUUGGAUUUAUUGAGGACUAACUACUGCGAAAGCAUUUGCCAAGGAUGUUUUCAUUAAUCAAGAACGAAAGUUAGGGGAUCAAAGACGAUUUAUGUACGUCGUAGUCCUAACCAUAAACUAUGCCGACUAGGAAUCAGACAAAGUUAAUUUUUUAACGACUUGUUUGGUACCUUACG